rnacentral:rRNA from 1 species
UACAGAGGGGGCAAGCGUUAUUCGGAAUUAUUGGGCGUAAAGGGCGCGUAGGCGGCCUGGCAAGUGGAAGGUGAAAUCCCUCGGCUUAACCGAGGAACUGCCCUCCAAACUGCUUGGCUUGAGUCCGGGAGAGGUGAGUGGAAUUCCCAGUGUAGCGGUGAAAUGCGUAGAUAUCAGGAGGAACACCGGUGGCGAAGGCGGCAUCCUGGACCGGUAUUGACGCUGAGGCGCGAAAGCCAGGGGAGCAAACGGG